CCAAGAAAGAUGAUCUCCAUGAUUUCCACAGAGAGGCCAGAGAGCUCCACAAGACACUGACAGGCUAAUUCGAAGUUAUCAAGGGAGCUCUUAUUGGCCCAAAUCUUUUUCAGUUUGUCUUCAUAUUUCACAACACAAUUGCUCUAGAGGAAAAUCAUUAUUGCUCACUGUUUCCAUAUCAGGGCUUUAAAAUAGCUGUUGUGGAGACCCUGGUUUCCUGACCACAGAUGUUCACAGCUACCGCUGCUCUGGAUGGUUAUUUUGGACAAUGUCUGAGAUGGCCAUUGGACUGGAUUUGACAAGACAAAAGCAAACUGUGUUGACAGAUUUGAUGGAAAGAGUAAAGAAAGAAGGUCUGCUCUGGUGUAUUUACAGCCACUGCAAAUAAUCCUCUCAAUAGUUCUCUCAGAGUAACCUAUUAGCCUUGCUAGUGACAUUCACUUCUUCAGCAGCUUGCAUUGACAGAUGGAUGUCCCUGUUUGUGAUAUGUUAUCCUAGUGUCAACUCCAGGAUGAUGCUGUAUUCAAGGGAGCCAAAAUGGAAAACACCUGUGGUGAUCCUGGUGAUGCUCUGAAAAACGGCUCAACAUCUGGUUUAGUCUGAACUCUGAAGACUGCGGAUGAUUCCUCGUCCCUUUCUCUCACACUCCAGUAUCCCUCAUUCCUUCACCCCCCUUCUUUCUUUAUUCAAAUAUCAUAUGGAAAAUUUCUCUUCUUCCCAAAGUAAGGCCAGAAAAAAAAAAAACUCAUCUGGAUUCUUCUACAGCAGCAGUGGUGAUUGAUAGAGAUGUAGCUGUUUUCAUCUUAAAAUGUUGGACAAAACAAAUAGCUCUAAAUCUUCCCAUGUGCAAACAGUGAGACAGUGGCCCGAGAGAAAGCAGGGAAGAGCGGAGUGAAAACUUUAUGGCAGCAACAACGUUAAUGGCAGCUUUGGAUGAUUUCAGGGGCCCAGCAGAAUCAGACUCACAGUGCUGAUGCCAGUAAAAGAUUCAUGCAAGUGACUGUCCAGUCUAAACAUGGCCUGGAGUUUAUUUGGUGCAGAACAGGAUGGGGACAUCUUGUAUUUUUCCUACAGCUUCCUAAAAUUCAAAUCAUCCAGUCAUUAAGAUUUAUCCUUCCCUUGAGAGAACACAGUUGAGACACAACAAACCAGAAACAUCUAUGGAGCUUUAGGUUGUCUGUCAACAUUUCUUCCAUUUCACCAAAAAAUGAAGGUAGCCCACCCCUAAGAUAAUAUCUGCUGAAUGGUACAGGAUCACUCAGUCAGGUUAGAAUUCUUUGAUGAAAUACAACCUGAAGAUGAUGUUAUUGAUGCUCCAUUUUGAUUUCUUUCAACAGUCUGGCACUUCUCUUUGACAACUAAUCACCUUGUGAUUGAAGAAAAGCAAGCUAGACUUUAAAGGGAAAGUUGGAACUUUCCAAGGCUACUUCUGGAACUCUCAGCUUCCACCGAGGGCUUAGAUUUUAAUGAUAUCUCAAGGCCUGUCUCCUGUGCUAUUUGGAUGGAGCUUGGCAUGAUGAACAAAGUCCUGUGUGAUGACCUCACAGGUUCAGAAUAAGUAGCAAUAAUGUGCAAUGAUCUGACUAAGGUCCUGGAGAACGGAAAGGACCUCUAAUGGUUUUUUUAUUUAUUGUGUUAAGCUCCUACACUCAAAGACCAACACUAUAAAGAUAACAUUUCCUAUUGUUUAUAUCUGCAGACAAUAAUGUCUUACAGAUGUGUACUCCAUUCAUUUGUGCAUUUAAAAAAUAAGUGAAAGCUAGUGAGCAGUUGUUUGCUGCUUGCUUAAUGCUUCAGGUUCAAAACUUCUAGAAUAAAGACUUGUCUAUCUUUGACUGUUUAUUUUAG